CUCCGUGGUGUACCAUCAAAUGGUGUGGGUGUGUGUAGAAUUAUUCUUAGGUUGGCGUCCGAAUCUAUCGACCCUAUUUGGUGGUAGAAGGCAAAAUCUUGGAGGAAAAAAAAAAAAAUAAACUCUGUCGAUAAGCAGGGUUUUACAUACUUUCCUGUAUCAAAUUUUGAUCCCAUUUUGCUUUGUAGUUCUUGGUACUGUUACAGCAAUAUAUAUAUAUAUGUACAUAUAUAUAUACACAUAUAUAUAUAUUGAUUCGAUCGACAGUUUAUUCUAAGGCGAGGGGGACACCCACAAGGGAUUCGAAGUGAUGCCAUCGUGUUUGCAAACAAAGACCUCAACCACUGAGGACAAUGCAGGUUGAUUUUUUGUUUUCUGGCUGUUAGAAAUAUGAAUGCUAUAUAAUGACCUAACAUUGAUCACGAUGUAUGAAUAAUUAAAAGAAGAAAAGGAAAAGGAUAACUGAGAGAGGAGAGAGAAAAAGAGGGAGAUUUCAGUCCGCAAAAGAAAGGGACAGGAGAGAGAAGAAAGAAGAAAGACGAAGGCACAUGAUAUAAAGCUUUUCGUAGCUUCCCAUUCAAUUUGAUAUUUAUGUAGCGGCCAAAGUUACCGAAUUUUGUAGAGAAUAUCUUUCCUCUUUUUCGCAGUUACCAAAUUUUGAGAUGAGCCAUAUGAAUCUCAUUUGAAUAAUUCGCAGUACAGAAGAACACUUUUUUUCC